rnacentral:rRNA from 1 species
AAAGCUCAGUAACACGUGGGUAACCUGCCCUAUGCUGGGGAAUAACCUCGGGAAACUGAGAAUAAUGCCCCAUAGCCCACUACGCCUGGAACGGUGAGUGGGUCAAAGCUCCGGCGGCAUAGGAUGGGCCUGCGCCGUAUCAGGUUGUAGGGGGUGUAAAGUACCCUCUAGCCAUCAACGCGUACGGGUGUUGGGAGACAUUGCCCGGAGAUGGAUUCUGAGACACGAAUCCAGACCCUACGGGGUGCAGCAGGCGCGAAAACUUGGCAAUGCGAGAAAUCGUGACCAGGGAACUCCAAGUGCGUAGGGUAAGACCUACGCUUUUCUUGACUCUUCAAAGGUCUUGGAAUAAGGGGUGGGUAAGGACGGUGCCAGCCGCCGCGGUAAUACCGGCGCCUCAAGUGGUAGUCGCUUUUAUUGGGCCUAAAACGUCCGUAGCCGGUCUGGUGCAUUCGUGGGUAAAUCAACCCGCUCAACGGGUUGAAUUCUGCGAGCACGGCCAGACUUGGGACCGGGAGAGGUGUGGGGUACUCUCAGGGUAGGGGUAAAAUCCUGUCAUCCUGAGAGGACCACCUGUUGCGAAGGCGCCACACUAGAACGGAUCCGACGGUCAGGGACGAAACCUAGGGGCACGAACCGGAUUAGAUACCCGGGUAGUCCUAGGUGUAAACGCUGUGGACUUGAUGUUGGGGGCGCUCCGAGCGCUCUCAGUGUCGAAGCGAAGGUGAUAAGUCCACUGCCUGGGGAGUACGGUCGCAAGGCUGAAACUUAAAGGAAUUGGCGGGGGAGCAC